rnacentral:piRNA from 1 species
GAUACAUACACUACUCAUGGGAUUUUGGGA